AUUGAACGCUGGCGGCAGGCUUAACACAUGCAAGUCGAGCGAGCGGCGGACGGGUGAGUAAUGUCUGGGAAACUGCCUGAUGGAGGGGGAUAACUACUGGAAACGGUAGCUAAUACCGCAUACCAUCAGAUGUGCCCAGAUGGGAUUAGCUAGUAGGUGGGGUAAUGGCUCACCUAGGCGACGAUCCCUAGCUGUUCUGAGAGGAUGACAGGCCAAACUGGAACUGAGAAACGGUCCGGACUCCGACGGGAGGCAGCAGGGGGAAAUAUUGCACAAUGGGGGCAAGCCUGAUGCAGCCAUGCCGCGGGUGGGAAGAGGGCCUUCGGGUUGGAAAGCACGUUCAGCGAGGAGGCGUUACUCGCAGAAGAAGCACCGGCUAACUCCGUGCCAGCAGCCGCGGUAAUAC
rnacentral:rRNA from 1 species